AUUUGAGGGUCAAUAAAAGGUGUGUAGAUGCAUGUAAAUAGAUAGAAUCCCCCCCUUGGCUAAGGGAAAUUAAUUGGUACAUAUUUUCACUAUUGAAUGAAUAUGAAUAGAGGGACAACUUUUGUAAUAAAACUCAUUGCUGCAAAAGAACCUCACUGGAGCCUUCAAAAAGAUUGCAUUUUGUGUUUAUGUUUUUAAAAUUAAAAGGACCCCUUCCCCAAGUUUCAUCUAUUUGAUUAUUAUCAGCCGUUAUUGUCCAUUAUUAUCUUCCAAUUAAGCAGUAGUUUUGUUGAUAAUAGUUAGAUAUACUUAAGUCAGCUUAAGUAUAAGAGUGGUUAUCACCUUUUACUUGCAACAUCCAUUCCUAAAGGUAAAACUCAUAAAAGUUGUUGAUGCAGAAAUUACAAUGGGAAGUAUUUGUGGCAGCAACAAUUAUGCAUUCAUUGUAUGUUUUGGUUUAUGCAGGAAAAAUACUGUAUUUUUCGGGCGAUAAGACGCACCGGAUUAUUAAGCAUUGAUUGGUUUAUUGUUGCUAGUGCGUACUCCAGGCCCUGGCUGCCUUACAUGAAUGCACUUCUAGUUUAGACAUCACAGUCAGGCAGUCUUGUAAACUGCUCAGGGGUCCUGUUACCGGGCCGAUCAGGUAGUGACACAGAGUACCGUAAUGCUUCGAAUAUCCAUUGAGCAGAGCGGCUUCAUUGUUUACCAAAGUCGUACUUACAUAUUUCGACAGAUUUUUGAGUGCAUUGUUCCACAUAAAAAUCGGUCAGUUAGCACAACAAGUAAUCAUGCAUAAGGCAUGCUGGAUUAUAAUGCGCACUGUCAAUUUUUGAGGAAAUUUAAGGAUUUUAAGUGCGCCAGAGGGAGCUUCUUCACUUAAGGACUGCUUUGACACUACAGACAGGGAAGUGUUUAAACAAGCAGCCACAUGGACAUUGAGGAGUACACAGACAUCAAGAAAUGCAUGGAUGAUGUAACCCACACAUGGACAAUCAUCACCAGAGCUAACCAGAAACCUUGGCUAACAGGAGAGGUCUGCAGCCUGCUGAGGGCCAGGAACACUGCCUUCAGAACUGGGGAUGCAGAUGGCCUGAGAAAAGCAAGAGCCAACCUGUCCCAGGGUAUCCAGAAAGCUAAACAGGACUACACAAAGAGGAUAACGGAAACCUAUUAAGGACAGCAGAGACACACGGAGCCUGUGGCAGGGCAUACAGACCAUGACAGACUCCAAGCCCUCACCACAGGUCUGUGACAGCAACAUCUCUCUGCUGAAUAACUUCAGCAGCUGUUCUCAACAGAACAGCAGGUGUCCACAGAAGACCCCACUCCCACCCCAGGACCAGGCUCUGUUUCUGUCUGUUAUUCUCCACCAUCAAUAACCGCAAGGCUGCAGGUCCAGACAACAUUCCUGAAUGACUGCACAGCGGAGCUCAAAGACGUCUUCACAGACACCUUUAACACUUCCCUGAGCCCAGCUGUUGUUCAAGCGGAUUUCAAAACCACCACCAUCCAUCCCAAAGAAGUCACAUUCAACCCCAUCAUCAUGAAGUGCUUUGAACAGCUUGUCAUGUCUCAAAUAAAAUCCAUCCUCCCCUUCACACUGGACCCAUUCCAGUCUGCAUACCGAGGCCAACCAAUGUAACCUGCACUGCUCUCCACCCCUCUCUCACCCACCUGGGGCCUCAUGUAUCAACACUUGCGUGGAACUCAUACCAGAAACGAGCGCACGCAAGGUCCGUCACGCUGAAAAAAAUCCGUAUGUAUCAAUGUGUGCGGGCGCCGAAAUCCACGUGUGUUUCCUUGAUAAAUCCCAAUCAGCGUGGAAUUGAGCGCAGAUGUCGGAGUGACUGGGCCCGUCCCCGUUACGCCCUCCUAUAAAUAUGCAGAUUUAUUUAAAUAGGGUCGUCCUGUCCUCGCACGCAGACAAAAUGACAAGAAAAACUACAUUUACGGCGUGCGAGGUGGAGGUGCUGGUGGCGGAGGUGGAGGAGCGACAGCGUGUUUUGUUUGGCAGCCUGUCCAGUGGCGUCAGUGCAAAACAAAAACGCUUGGAGUGGGAGAAAGUUUGCGAGAGGGUGAAUGCGGUGGGUUCCGAGACACGCACCCCCGCGGAGAUUUUUAAAAAGUGGUCGGACCUCAAGGUGGAGGUCAAGCGGCGUACAGCUGCCCUCCGGAGGAGUACCGGCCAGACAGGUGGGGGUCCGGGGGAGGAGACCCUCACACCGUUUGAGCAGCGGGUGGUGGCGAUUAUUAUUAUAGGGUAAGUGGCGUGUCACACAAAUGUCCACAUGCUUUGUCAUCCCACUGAGCAAAAGACGUAUAUUAGACGUCUAGUCUAAGUUUAUACUUCAUUUCAACGUCGGGAUUCAGUCUAUUUUUAGACGUGAUUUAUACUUCGCCCUUAACUUCAUUUUUUGAUAACUUUUUAUGCAAUAAACAACUGUAAUGUGCAUAACUGACCUCGAAAUACUGGAUUACAUUACCUAUGAUACCGUGGAGAGAGAUGUAAACGCAACAGAUACACAGAAGCAGGAAUUGAAAUGAACUAAUAUUUUUAUUGUGUCACAGAAAUCAAUGUGUCGGCCGUGUCCCCGGCUUGCGGAACCCUGGCCCGCGGCAGCCCGUCCGCCGGCUCGGAGUUGUCGGCCAGGACCAGCAGCAUUCGGGCCACCCCGGCCCCCGGCCCCAGCACCAGCAUCAGCACCAGCGCGCCGACAAGCGGUGGAGCGUCCACCAGCCGCGGCGCUUCCGCUGGACCACCCGGACGCAGUGGAAGGGUCCUCGCGGAGGGGGUCCUGCAAUCGCAGGAAGAAAUCAUCAGGGGGAUCGCGGGGAUCAAAGAGCGGCUGGACCGGCUCGUAAAUUUCCUCGAGCGUCUGGUGGAGAAAAUAAAUUAAUUUGGCUCAUUGAACUGUGUAUUCACUUCUUACCCAUUCACACUGUGGCGAUGAGAUUCUCCCGCGCGAGGACGGCGGUCCGGCAGGGAUCAGCUCGCAUCCCUCCGUCUGCUGCUGGUUCGUCAUGUGGGGCGAUGUGCUGCCCGGCCACGGGGAUGUGGUGCACGCUUGUCACAUAGUGAGUCACCAAACACCGCCACACAGCGUCGCCAAAGUGCGAAUCACAGUCAACGCAAAUAUCCAGCUCAACGCCAAUUUCUACACCACCUCCUGACUUUGCGUUGAUUAGCGCUGGAACCGACGCUUUCGCGAUGAUAAAUCUGGACGUGUGCGCCGAUUUUGGCGUACGCAAGGUUUUCUUGCGCCGCAAGCGUUGAUACAUGAGGCCCCUGGUCACUAAGGACUCAUAUGUAUGAAUGCUGUUCUUAGAUUUCAGUUCCACAUUCAACACUAUCAUCCCACAAUAUCUCAUCCUCAAACUAGACCAGCUAGGACUCAACACCUCACUGUGCAACUGGUUGCUGGCCUUCCUUAGUGAGAGGCCACAAGCGGUACGGGUUGGUAAUAAUGCUGCAUUCCUGUUGUACUUGGAAGUCGGAAUUUCCAAGCUCGGAGUCAGAAAUUCAUCUGGAACGCCCCCCCUGGAGUCGGAUUCCCAACUCACCAUCAAUCCUGACAAACCCUGACUUGACAACAACAUCAUAAUCCAAGAUGGCAGCGCAGUGCAUCAACAGUAAAGAGUAAACGUGAAAGCUCUCGUAAUGUAUAAUUUAGUAGCACUUCUGUUUGUUUUUGUGAAAUUUAAUAGGUGGUGUAUGUUGUACUGCCCAACGUCCAACUGUGAACACGGUGCUUUGGUGUUUGUAGAGUAACAUACUGUGUUAUGCGUUGUUUACAACAGGUAUCGCCAACAACAACUGACAACCGCUAACAACUGACAGUGGCUAACGACAGCUGACAAUUGUAAACAACAGCUAACAAUGGGUAACUGUAGGCGUCUAUCUUGGUUUUCCGACUCGUUAAGUGGAACGCAGUCAACUCAGGUGUCAUCCCACUUCCGAAGUAACUGGAACGCAAGCAUUACACCUCACAGUUGGUGUCUGUCCAAGAAACGGAGGGACUGAGAAUACCCAGUCAUCCGUUUGCAGUUCAACCAAUCAGACUAAGUUGGAAAGGUUCAGAGGUAGUCAACGGGGACACAGAAUGGUCUUCUACAAAUGGUAGAGCACACCACCAGAAAAUACACAAACAACAACUUCUUGUAUUUGCUUGUUUAUUAUCCUGAUAAGACAUGCCCAAAUGCAACUGGCAGUCAAAAGGUG